GGGGAGGUAGCGAAGUGGCCAAACGCGACAGACUGUAAAUCUGUUGGCUCUGCCUUCAAAGGUUCGAAUCCUUUCCUCCCCA
rnacentral:tRNA from 1 species